AAGAACAGCCCUGCUGGAAAGGACUUGAAAGUAGUAGUAGAUGGGAAAUUUUCAGGACCAGAUUUGGUUUGAGCACCUAUCAGUUUGCUCACAUUUGGAAAGGAGAUGCAGCUGUACUGAGAAAAUGUAUGUCAUCCAGAUUUGAGACAUGAAGAAUGUAAUGCUUAACUAUUAGCUUGGCUAAUGUUCAGCUGAGGUUGUGGCCCUUGCUGUGAAUGAUUUGGGAUGUGAACUUCAGCACCAUGUACUGAAGGAUGACUUCAUGAUUUGGAUUCCUUACACCUUUCAUUUCAAGACAGAAAAAUCUGCUUUUCAUUUCAGAAGUAUUCCUCAUUUUCCUAUUUCAUUUAUGCUGUCACAUAUGACAUACAUAUAGAGAAAUAUAGAUAUAGAGUUUCUUGGCACUAAAUCUGUUGCCAUCUGCAUUGUAAACUAAAUCAUAUCUAAAUAUAGUACCAGAACAAAACAAUAAUUCUAUAUCUAAGUCAGAGUGGAUAUAAAAACAAGUGAUAAGAGAAGAUUCACCUGUCACUUUCUGUUAUAGAAAAGAAGGACCAUGAUUUUUUACAUGGUUCUGUGCAAGGUAGACUGUUCAAAAAUUUGCCUCUAUAGCAAGAGCAAAAAAAAAAAAUUGUCAUUCAAAAUCACUACAAUAAACCAGUUGAUUUGGUGUUAUACCAUGCCUCUAGCAGUAGACAGUGUUGGACUGAAAAAAUAAACAACCAACCUUGUCAGUUCUGCAGCAUAUUACACAUUAGCCCAUGAGGAUUUUCUCCUGCAAGAACCAGCUGAUGCGCUGCUGCUGCUGAUACCCUACUGCAGUUUUGGGCGCAUCAAGACUAAGCCCCAUUCUAUCUUUUGACCUGUGCAAAUCCUUAUGAAAGCCUAAUGAAUGUAUUUUGUGUGUUGUUUUUAUAUGUAAUACAUCUCUUUUUUCCUGAUGACAGAUUUUUUUGCAUGUGGAAAUAAUUAUGCUUUUGGGGACAGAGUAGAGUGAAGUUAAUUCAUGAAUGUGUUGGCAUCUAAUAUACAGUUAGCUUUUGAAUUAGUUCAUCUGAAUAAUAAUAUUACAAAGUAAGUGCACGGGUGCUUCCCUGUUACAAUUAAUUAUUUUCUUUUUGAACUUUUGUUUUAUGGAAAUGGGGGCAAAAAUAGAAGAAACAUUACAGUUGAAUACUGACUUAAGAUUCUGUUC
ensembl:lncRNA